UAAUACAUAAGUAACCUGCCCUAGACAGGGGGAUAACUAUUGGAGACGAUAGCUAAGACCGCAUAGGUACGGACACUGCAUGGUGACCGUAUUAAAAGUGCCUCAAAGCACUGGUAGAGGAUGGACUUAUGGCGCAUUAGCUGGUUGGCGGGGUAACGGCCCACCAAGGCGACGAUGCGUAGCCGACCUGAGAGGGUGACCGGCCACACUGGGACUGAGACACGGCCCAG
rnacentral:rRNA from 1 species